CACCGGGGAUGGCAGAGGGUCG
rnacentral:miRNA from 1 species